GCCUUUCUAGUAUAAAAUAAUAUGAGUGACUUCCAAUCACCUAAUCUUGGUUAAAGCCCAAGGAAAGACA
rnacentral:tRNA from 1 species